GCUAACAAAGGGAUUAGCACUUGACAGGGGAAGCGGUGCAUGCUGAAGGAGAGGGUCAGGGGGUGACUGCCUAUUACACAGAAAUAAUUGCCACCCGGUGCUGGGGGAAGCGGUGUCUGCAGGCUCUGCUUGCUGCAGAGAAGCAUUUUCUCUCAGCUCUUACCCCUCUGCCUAAUCUGCCUUUGCACAAAUCGAGGACAGGAGCUGUUGGUGGGCUGGGAGCAUGGAAACGGGUGCUGGAAAUGCAAGCCAAGGACAAAAUCACGGCUAAAAUGAUUGGGGAGCAUUCAUCACAUGUUUGGAGUUGAGCAGAAAGGGGCUUUAUCUUCGAUUUCUAAUUUUUUUCUUUGGUGCUCUACCUUGAAUUGCUUGCUGAGAUCACACAGAGGAUUUCCAGUGGUUUGUCAGUUUUGCCAUGACAAGGCCUGAAGAGGUUUGGAAUGAGUGAAGCUGAAGACACGAGUCCAGUUUUUGCCUCCUGACGUUUUAAUGCUCCAUUGUGGUGCACCAGCAGAGCAGAGUUAAGAGAUUUGCAGCCUUAGAAACAGUAUAUAGGUCUAGUUAUGAAGGAAACAAAAUGCCCUAAUUAAUUUUCUGCAUCACUGAAAUGGAGCUUCAGUCAAAUGGGGAAGGCACACAUUGUGGAUGUCAGAGAGCUGUCCUAGGACCAAGCCUCCAGCACUAUUUGGGAGCAAAAGAGCUGGACUACAAACCCAUCACUGGGCUGGAAAAUCUCUUGGUCAGGAAUAUGUUCUCAAAAGGAAGACCCGGAGACAAAGAAAUAAUGCAAAUCUGUUGGAGGUAAAAUGAGGAGGAUUGUGUAUUUUGGGCUGUUUUCCUUUUUGCUACAAGCAGCUGUGUUGAAGCAUGGAUACUACAGAUAAAAAUGGUGUUUCUCCACAGAUUGGAUCUGCAGUGUUAGACUUCUUCCUACUCUGACUACUUAAAGUUCCUCAAGAGGCUUUUAGCCCAGUAUGUCUGAACAUUUUAGCAACACUCAUUAGAGAAGAUGACAUUAGUUAUUGGCUAAGAGAGGUUUUGAUGCCCCCUUUCCAGAAGAGGUCAUCCAGUUGGUGAGAAAAGGACAGAAAGGGCUAAAGUUACCCUAGUUCCAGGAGAGCAACAGGCUCUACAAAGAAUUUUACAAGAAGUUCCUUUUCAUAAGGGUAAAACUGAAAGUGGUGAAUUUGUAGAGCUUUGAAAUAAAAAGACAUGGUAAUAGUCUUCUAAUUCUCAAAAAGUCUGCAAAGAAGGUGCUUCUGAAAUACUCUCCUGGUCACCAAAGGAGCAAAAAGGUUUACUGGCUCUACAUAGAGCAAAAUUUUAAAACAGAGAUUUGAAAAAGCUUCCUAAUGAAGGAUAUUUAAACAAUGAACCUAGCUGCUAAGGGAAGCUGUAAAAUCUAAGUUAGAAAAGACCAAUUAGACCUGUCUGGAAUGGGCACAGCAGGAUUCUGCAUCCAUGCAGUGAAAAUGGACUUAAAGCCACUAUCAUGCUGGGGUGCUGGUUUUUAUCCUCCAGAGCCCCACUCAAGUCCUGUGAUUCCAUUUUUGUUACACACAUUUAUCUCCCUAGACUGUAUGUGAGUCCUCUAAGCUCAGCUCUGAGGGUCCUCAGUCUGUUUCCCUUCUGCAGCUCUAGCCUGUCUGGGAAAAAAAAAAAAAACAAACAUCAAGCUGAAGUAUGUGAGAUCAAAGCCUUCUCAUGAAGUCAUGAGGAUUAAAAUUAAUUUCAUUACUGUGGGUAGAGCAGCUUUCCCUAGGGAAAAAGUUCCUUUUUGCCUCUGUUGAGUUGGUACCUCAGCUGACCUCAUUCAAGAUAAAACUCUACCCCACAACCAUCUUUUGGAGGGGCUGGGGGUUAAGGGUGAGGAUCCUCCAGGAGAAGAGAUACUUCCCUACAAUCCUCAGUGAGGUGUGCAGGAUUCUCCUGGUUUCCCACAGACACUGUAUAUAUAUUUUCUCUGAAUGGUUCCCUUCCUGGCACACUGUAUGAGAAGAGUGGACAUGGCAGUCACAGCUCUGGAUUCCCCUCUGGAAAUUGGGAUCCUUCAUGCCACAGUCAGUGUUGCCUCCUAGGGUUCUAAAUUCUUGAAUUUAAUCUUAGCUAUGAGAAGCAAGAAUGAUUCCCAACACUGUAAGUCAGCAGUAUCCCCCAAAUAAGUUGAUAAAGCAGCUGUGUUGGCUCUAGAGCAGCUUAACUUUAGGCUUCUGAGUAUGAUGAAUUAUUGUUUAAG